GAUGAACGCUGGCGGCGUGCCUAAUACAUGCAAGUCGAGCGAACAGACGAGGAGCUUGCUCCUCUGACGUUAGCGGCGGACGGGUGAGUAACACGUGGAUAACCUACCUAUAAGACUGGGAUAACUUCGGGAAACCGGAGCUAAUACCGGAUAAUAUAUUGAACCGCAUGGUUCAAUAGUGAAAGACGGUUUUGCUGUCACUUAUAGAUGGAUCCGCGCCGCAUUAGCUAGUUGGUAAGGUAACGGCUUACCAAGGCAACGAUGCGUAGCCGACCUGAGAGGGUGAUCGGCCACACUGGAACUGAGACACGGUCCAGACUCCUACGGGAGGCAGCAGUAGGGAAUCUUCCGCAAUGGGCGAAAGCCUAACGGAGCAACGCCGCGUGAGUGAUGAAGGUCUUCGGAUCGUAAAACUCUGUUAUUAGGGAAGAACAAAUGUGUAAGUAACUAUGCACGUCUUGACGGUACCUAAUCAGAAAGCCACGGCUAACUACGU
rnacentral:rRNA from 1 species